rnacentral:rRNA from 1 species
CCUACGGGUGGCAGCAGUGGGGAAUAUUGCACAAUGGGGGAAACCCUGAUGCAGCGACGCCGCGUGAGCGAUGAAGUAUUUCGGUAUGUAAAGCUCUAUCGGCAGGGAAGAAGCAAGACGGUACCUGACUAAGAAGCCCCGGCUAACUACGUGCCAGGAGCCGCGGUAAUACGUAGGGGGCGAGCGUUAUCCGGAUUCACUGGGUGUAAAGGGAGCGUAGACGGCCAAGCAAGCUAGGGGUGAAAGCCCGGGGCACAACCCCGGGACUGCCCUUGGAACUGCAUGGCUGGAGUGCGGGAGGGGCAGGCGGAAUUCCUGGUGUAGCGGUGAAAUGCGUAGAUAUCAGGAGGAACACCGGCGGCGAAGGCGGCCUGCUGGACCGCGACUGACGUUGAGGCUCGAAAGCGUGGGGAGCGAACAGGAUUAGAUACCCUUGUAGUC